AACUGAGGCCCAGCAGAUGGCCGAGCUUGAGGUUAGUUCCGUGAAGUACUGAGGAUCUGCAAAGACGAGACCUUUUCAGGAGGCUGCGUCUGGAGCCAGUUAGCCCGGCCAAGAGCUUUCAGAAAUUACAAGGCCACAAAAAUGCUUUUUGGCUUGAAGCAUCCGAAUGGGCCCCACCCAUCUUGCUUAGAGUCAGGCCUCCUUCUUCUCACUACUGGACCCUGUGUUGCCAGGCUGUAUGGGUGGAAUGCAGAUAUAACGGAUGGAGUCAAGCAGCUGUCUUGGACGAUGAGGUGGGAAGCGAGAAAGAGUGAGAGCACACAAGCAGAGGGAACGGCACGCAGAAGGAGAAGCAGGCUUCUUACAGAGCAGGAAGCCCUAUGUGGGGAUUGAUCCCAGGACCCUGGGAUCAUGACCAGAAAUGAAGGCAGACACUUAACCAACUGAGACAUCCAGGGGUCCUUCCCUUAAUAUUUUACAACUAUAAAAGGGUUUUCAGGUAUUCUGUGUCCCUUCUUUGGAAGCAGUCGAUGUCUACCCUGAAAUAUUUUAUGCAUAUACUACCAAACACACACACACACACAC